rnacentral:rRNA from 1 species
CACGUAGGGUGCGAGCGUUGUCCGGAAUUAUUGGGCGUAAAGAGCUCGUAGGCGGUGUGUCGCGUCGGCCGUGAAAACCUGCAGCUUAACUGUGGGCGUGCGGUCGAUACGGGCAUCACUGGAGUUCGGCAGGGGAGACUGGAAUUCCUGGUGUAGCGGUGAAAUGCGCAGAUAUCAGGAGGAACACCUGCGGCGAAGGCGGGUUGCUGGGCUGAUACUGACGCUGAGGCGCGAAAGCCAGGGGAGCGAACGGG